CACGUAGGGGGCGAGCGUUGUCCGGAUUUAUUGGGCGUAAAGAGCUCGUAGGCGGCUCAGUAAGUCGGGUGUGAAAACUCCAGGCUCAACCUGGAGACGCCACCUGAUACUGCUGUGGCUAGAGUCCGGUAGGGGAGCAUGGAAUUCCUGGUGUAGCGGUGAAAUGCGCAGAUAUCAGGAGGAACACCAAUGGCGAAGGCAGCACUCUGGGACGUGACUGACGCUGAGACGCGAAAGCGUGGGGAGCAAA
rnacentral:rRNA from 1 species